rnacentral:rRNA from 1 species
CAGCAGCCGCGGGAAUACGGAGGGCGCAAGCGUUAAUCGGAAUUACUGGGCGUAAAGCGCACGCAGGCGGUUUGUUAAGUCAGAUGUGAAAUCCCCGAGCUUAACUUGGGAACUGCAUUUGAAACUGGCAAGCUAGAGUCUUGUAGAGGGGGGUAGAAUUCCAGGUGUAGCGGUGAAAUGCGUAGAGAUCUGGAGGAAUACCGGUGGCGAAGGCGGCCCCCUGGACAAAGACUGACGCUCAGGUGCGAAAGCGUGGGGAGCAAACAGGAUUAGAUACCCCGGUAGUCCCUGUCUCUUAUAC